GACGAACGCUGGCGGCGUGCUUAACACAUGCGAGUCGAACGGAAAGGCCCUGCUUUUGUGGGGUGCUCGAGUGGCGAACGGGUGAGUAACACGUGAGUAACCUGCCCUUGACUUUGGGAUAACUUCAGGAAACUGGGGCUAAUACCGGAUAGGAGCUCCUGCUGCAUGGUGGGGGUUGGAAAGUUUCGGCGGUUGGGGAUGGACUCGCGGCUUAUCAGCUUGUUGGUGGGGUAGUGGCUUACCAAGGCUUUGACGGGUAGCCGGCCUGAGAGGGUGACCGGCCACAUUGGGACUGAGAUACGGCCCAGACUCCUACGGGAGGCAGCAGUGGGGAAUAUUGCACCAUGGGCGGAAGCCUGAUGCAGCAACGCCGCGUGCGGGAUGACGGCCUUCGGGUUGUAAACCGCUUUCGCCUGUGACGAAGCGUGAGUGACGGUAAUGGGUAAAGAAGCACCGGCUAACUACGUG
rnacentral:rRNA from 1 species